rnacentral:rRNA from 1 species
UACGUAGGGUGCGAGCGUUGUCCGGAAUUAUUGGGCGUAACGAGCUCGUAGGCGGUGUGUCGCGUCGGCCGUGAAAACCUGGGGCUUAACUCUGGGCGUGCGGUCGAUACGGGCAUCACUGGAGUUCGGCAGGGGAGACUGGAAUUCCUGGUGUAGCGGUGAAAUGCGCAGAUAUCAGGAGGAACACCGGUGGCGAAGGCGGGUCUCUGGGCCGAUACUGACGCUGAGGAGCGAAAGCAUGGGUAGCGAACAGG